CAAAAAUACCUAAAAUAAAUAGCCAAAUUCAUCUAAAGUCAAAAUUGCUUCAUGGAGUUAAAACCUUAGUUUCAUAACAACUUCAAAAUUUAUAAACGGGCAAUUUGAGUACAGUUUGUUAAAUCAUGUCAGUACCGAAGCACUGACCACUGAGCUGAUGAUACCCUCGGGGACUGAUAGUCCACCAGCAAAGGUAUCGACCCAGUG
rnacentral:lncRNA from 1 species